UUCGUCGAGAGUUUGCAGGCACAUUUGAAUCGUAAAUCCUCUAGGUUACAGAUUUAAAGACUUUGAACUCUAUAUACACUUGGAAGAAAUUGAAAACAGAGAAAAAAAGAAAUGGAGGACAAACGCGAAUGUGUUAUCAUGUUUAUAUGGUGGAUUUGAGCAUUGGGCUUUCGAAAAGAGCAAGGCAAGGACGACACACAAGUUAAGCUCGUUUUUCCUACAUUUCAGCAUUCCGAAAAAAAAAUGAAGAUUAUUUUGGAAACUACGGCAAAGUAAAAAAAAACUUAAGCUGAUUUCUAAUUAAGUCAUAUUCCAACAACAAAAAAACCUAACUCAAUACAAAACUGGCACCACAAGAAAAUGCAAAAGAGGAAAACCCCGAAA